UAGGUUCCUUAUGCUUGUGAACCAGUUAGAUUCUAUACACAUAUGAAUCUUCCCCAUAUUCGAAUAUCUGAAUGUCAGACUCAAGCUGAUGAUAUAUGAGGUAUGGUCCUCGCUGUAUCAAUCAAGUCCCAUUGAAAUAUUGAAAUGUUGUUCAUACAUCUUUGAAUGACCUUUUAUGUGCUGACAAUAUGUUCUGAAAUGAAGAGAUUUUACCCCUGAUGAAGUCUUGGAACAAGACGAAACGCGUUGGGUUAUUUAUCUAUCUAUUAUCUGAUGUUACCUCCGAAUCUACAAUAAGGAGGAGGAGGAAAUCGUAGUGAUAUAUCUACGCUUUUUCCUCAUCACUACAAACUGAUUGUUCAAAUUGUGCGACAAAUGUAAAUGUAUCAACUCUGUAUACUUAUGAACAUUUGU